UACGUAGGGUGCGAGCGUUAAUCGGAAUUACUGGGCGUAAAGCGUGCGCAGGCGGUUCGUUAUGUCCGAUGUGAAAGACCAGAGCUCAACUUGGGAAUGGCAUUGGAAACUGGCGGGCUGGAGUGUGGCAGAGGGGGGUGGAAUUCCACGUGUAGCAGUGAAAUGCGUAGAGAUGUGGAGGAACACCGAUGGCGAAGGCAGCCCCCUGGGCCAACACUGACGCUCAGGCGCGAAAGCGUGGGGAGCAAACAGG
rnacentral:rRNA from 1 species